UCUCUUUCUCUCUCUCUCUCUCUCUCUCUAUAUAUAUAUAUAUAUAUAUAUAUAAACGGGAUUAUCAUAAAUAAACCUUGAACACCAAGUUUGUAUUUUCAAAGUCUCUGCAAUUCCCUGAGUAAUUGCAAGGACGAUUGAUCUUGUUGCUGUUGUAGUUUGAUCUAAAACUGUGUGUGGACUCAGCCUGAUCGUGAAUAAUAGUUGAGGAAGGUCUGCCUACUUUAA